rnacentral:rRNA from 1 species
GACGAACGCUGUCGGCGUGCUUAACACAUGCAAGUCGAACGGAAAGGCCCUGCUUUUGUGGGGUGCUCGAGUGGCGAACGGGUGAGUAACACGUGAGUAACCUGCCCUUGACUUUGGGAUAACUUCAGGAAACUGGGGCUAAUACCGGAUAGGAGCUCCUGCUGCAUGGUGGGGGUUGGAAAGUUUCGGCGGUUGGGGAUGGACUCGCGGCUUAUCAGCUUGUUGGUGGGGUAGUGGCUUACCAAGGCUUUGACGGGUAGCCGGCCUGAGAGGGUGACCGGCCACAUUGGGACUGAGAUACGGCCCAGACUCCUACGGGAGGCAGCAGUGGGGAAUAUUGCACAAUGGGCGGAAGCCUGAUGCAGCAACGCCGCGUGCGGGAUGACGGCCUUCGGGUUGUAAACCGCUUUCGCCUGUGACGAAGCGUGAGUGACGGUAAUGGGUAAAGAAGCACCGGCUAACUACGUGCCAGCAGCCGCGGUGAUACGUAGGGUGCGAGCGUUGUCCGGAUUUAUUGGGCGUAAAGGGCUCGUAGGUGGUUGAUCGCGUCGGAAGUGUAAUCUUGGGGCUUAACCCUGAGCGUGCUUUCGAUACGGGUUGACUUGAGGAAGGUAGGGGAGAAUGGAAUUCCUGGUGGAGCGGUGGAAUGCGCAGAUAUCAGGAGGAACACCAGUGGCGAAGGCGGUUCUCUGGGCCUUUCCUGACGCUGAGGAGCGAAAGCGUGGGGAGCGAACAGGCUUAGAUACCCUGGUAGUCCACGCUGUAAACGGUGGGUACUAGGUGUGGGGUCCAUUCCACGGGUUCCGUGCCGUAGCUAACGCUUUAAGUACCCCGCCUGGGGAGUACGGCCGCAAGGCUAAAACUCAAAGGAAUUGACGGGGCCCCGCACAAGCGGCGGAGCAUGCGGAUUAAUUCGAUGCAACGCGUAGAACUUUACCUGGGUUUGACAUGGAUCGGGAGUGCUCAGAGAUGGGUGUGCCUCUUUUGGGGUCGGUUCACAGGUGGUGCAUGGCUGUCGUCAGCUCGUGUCGUGGGAUGUUGGGUUAAGUCCCGCAACGAGCGCAACCCUUGUUCACUGUUGCCAGCACGUUAUGGUGGGGACUCAGUGGAGACCGCCGGGGUCAACUCGGAGGAAGGUGGGGAUGACGUCAAGUCAUCAUGCCCCUUAUGUCCAGGGCUUCACGCAUGCUACAAUGGCUGGUACAGAGAGUGGCGAGCCUGUGAGGGUGAGCGAAUCUCGGAAAGCCGGUCUCAGUUCGGAUUGGGGUCUGCAACUCGACCUCAUGAAGUCGGAGUCGCUAGUAAUCGCAGAUCAGCAACGCUGCGGCGAAUACGUUCCCGGG